CACGUAGGGCGCAAGCGUUGUCCGGAAUUAUUGGGCGUAAAGAGCUCGUAGGCGGUCUGUCGCGUCGGACGUGAAAACCCAGGGCUCAACCCUGGGCCUGCGUUCGAUACGGGCAGACUAGAGUUCGGUAGGGGAGACUGGAAUUCCUGGUGUAGCGGUGAAAUGCGCAGAUAUCAGGAGGAACACCGGUGGCGAAGGCGGGUCUCUGGGCCGAUAUUGACGCUGAGGAGCGAAAGCGUGGGGAGCGAACAGG
rnacentral:rRNA from 1 species